rnacentral:piRNA from 1 species
UUGGGUGUAUAGGGAUUAAGAAC